rnacentral:rRNA from 1 species
UAUUAUAUAUGUGUCACCCUGCAGCCAAAACCAGUUUCUCCCUGAAGCUAAGCAGGGCUGAGCCUGGUCAGUACCUGGAUAAGAGACCACAAGGGAAAGCUAGGUUGUUGUUGGAA